GCCUUGAUCGGAAACCAAGGCACAGAAGAAGGAG
rnacentral:ncRNA from 1 species